CACGUAGGGCGCAAGCGUUGUCCGGAAUUAUUGGGCGUAAAGAGCUCGUAGGUGGUCUGUUGCGUCCGCUGUGAAAACUCGGGGCUUAACCCCGAGCCUGCAGUGGAUACGGGCAGACUAGAGGUAGGUAGGGGAGAAUGGAAUUCCUGGUGUAGCGGUGAAAUGCGCAGAUAUCAGGAGGAACACCGGUGGCGAAGGCGGUUCUCUGGGCCUUACCUGACACUGAGGGGCGAAAGCGUGGGGAGCGAACAGG
rnacentral:rRNA from 1 species